ensembl:snRNA U6 U6 spliceosomal RNA
GCUCACUUCUGAAGCAUACUUAUUAUACUAACGUUAGAGAAGAGAGUCAUUAUUAGCAUGACCCCUGCACAAGGACGGCACACGAAUUUGUUAUGUGUCCCAUAUUUUU